AUCAGAACAAGUCAUCCAUUGCUGUUUACCAGUCACGUGGUAUCGAGAUGGUACAAUUGACCUGGUCUACUUGUGUUGUGGUGUUUAAUAUCAAUUUUCGGGAUGGCGGACAGCAUCCAAGAUAUGCAAUAUAUACAUGUAGAUGUCAUGCAUGCAAAGGUUUUUGUUCGUGAACUUCGUGGCCAAGCAGUCUACUCCUUUUCUGGUUGCGGAUUGUUCCACCAGACUCUACACGGAUUGUUUACAGAGAGCAAGAUCGCCUCUGUAGUUAUAUCUAUAUGCAUGUACCUCAAUCUAAAUCUUUGAUA